GAUGAACGCUAGCGGCAGGCCUAAUGCAUGCAAGGCGAAGGGGCAGCAAUGUCACUGUCGUACGGGUGCGUAACGCGUAUGCAACCUACCUAUCACAGGGGAAUAGCCUUUGGAAACAGGGAUUAAUACCCGGCAUAAAGCAGGGACACCGCAUGGUGAUAUUGCUAAAGAUUUAUCGGUGAUAGAUGGGCAUGCGUCUGAUUAGUUAGUUGGCAGGGUAACGGCCUACCAAGACGAUGAUCAGUAGGGGGCGUCAGAGCGUGGUCCCCCCANACUGGCACUGAGAUACGGGCCAGACUCCUACGGGAGGCAGCAGUAGGGAAUAUUGGGCAAUGGAUGCAAGUCUGACCCAGCCAUGCCGCGUGCAGGAGAAGGCCCUCGGGUUGUAAACUGCUUUUGACGGACGAAAAGGUUUCAUUAAUACUAGGAGCUC
rnacentral:rRNA from 1 species